UCUUUACUCGCCCAAAAUGGCUAUACUUGGCUAAUGCCGUGUUCCUAUAAGCUAAAACUGGCUAGUCACACCGUUUUAAAACCCCCCAAACUAAUUUAGGGUUUUAAAUUUUCCAUUUCUUUGUGCGAAUUUCUUCUUCUGACAAAUUCAAAACUAGGUUAGUUGUUGUUAAAUUCAAAUUCAGGGUCAACAAUUGCUUUUCGCGACGAAGGUGUUGGAUCAAAUAACUCAAUUUCAGUUACAAGACUGGUUCCGAAAUAAGCGUCUAGCUGGACCAGAUAAAGUUACUAACUCUCCUCUUAUUACCCAAAUCAAGAGGUUUCUCUCAGCAAAUGUGAAGACUAUUUUGACAACUCUCAAGUUAAUAAUUACUCAGGUGGUGUUGUUGAGCUAGAGAGGCUUAUAUUUCUGAAGUACCUUCUCUUUCAAACCUAGUAGCUGUGCUAGACAGGCUUUGAGCAGCUUCAUUUUUUGAGCAGCUUGUUCACCAGGAUUUUCUUCACUCUUAAGGCAUCCUUGUCUCAUUAACGACUUUAUUUUAUCGCUAUCUAAGUUCUUAAGUUAAGAUCAUUCCUCUUUACCUCCCGAAGUCUCUCACUGUCCAUCUCCUGGAAUAAGAAAAGAAGUGUAAUUCCUUAUUUCAGGAUAUGGAGGACAAUUCCAAGCAAAUUGAGAACGAGGAGGAAGAAGAAGAAUACGUGUUGCUUGAUCUUGAAGCUGUUUAUGAACAAGUAAACAUCCCGCCAAAUGCACCUUACGUUCUAUCUGGUUUGGAUACUUUGAAUCCGGUUUUGGUUAUAGGCGACAAUCUGAAGAUGAUAGGUUCGUACGAGGAAACUAUUGGUACAUGCCUCGUGUUCUCAGAAAAAGAUGGUGGUCCUGUGGUGCACGAAGAGACGGGACCAUCAGAUCAAAACCUUUUCAAAGGAGCGUGCAUUGUAGAUCCAAAUCAAACUUCAACCAAGCAAGUAAAACCUGUUGCCAGCCUCCAAAAGAUUCUCAAGUUUAGAUUACCAACUGAAGAAGAUGGCAUUCAGAAUCCUUUUUGAAUUCAAGAUAUUUUUUUUUUUUUGUAAGGAUGUGCUAAUCAUAUGAUGGCUGAUGGGUAGGAAGUUUUAUGGUUUGUGAAAUAAAUACGGUUAUGCUC